rnacentral:rRNA from 1 species
CGCAUCUGUGCAUGCAGCAUAUCAAUAAGCGGAGGAAAAGAAGCUAACAAGGAUUCCCCUAGUAACGGCGAGUGAAGCGGGAAGAGCUCAAAUUUGAAAUCUUAAAGGGUUUCCCUUUACGAAUUGUAGUUUAAAGAAGUGUCUUCUGUUGAGGUUUUGGUAAAAGUUCUUUGGAAUAGGACAUCAUAGAGGGUGAGAAUCCCGUAUUUGACCUUUACUUUCAACUUUGUGAUACACUUUCAAAGAGUCGGAUUGUUCGGGAAUGCAGUCCAAAAUGGGUGGUAAAUUUCAUCUAAAGCUAAAUAUUGGCGAGAGACCGAUAGCGAACAAGUACCGUGAGGGAAAGAUGAAAAGAACUUUGAAAAGAGAGUUAAACAGUACGUGAAAUUGUCAAAAGGGAAGCGUUUGACACCAGUGUUGUUUUUCUGAAAAUCAAUUAAAGAACUGUUUAUGCUAAGUUGUUUAGACUUUAUCGGCUAACUGUUUAGUUUUGAGCUUUUCUUUAAUGCACUUUUCAGUUAGCAAGUCAACAUCAAUUUCUUUUGCUGUAAAAAAGCUUGAGGAAGGUGGCUUGAGAUUCGUCUUAAGUGUUUAUAGCCUCUUGCCUAUGCAGUCGGAGAGAUUGAGGUCUGCAGCGUAGAUCCUUCGGGGUUAAAUGCAUUUGUGCUAAGCUAUAGCAUUUUAUAGACAACUUGUUGACUAUGAUUUGUCUUGUAGCUUACUCGCUUAUGUUAUUUUACCUACGCUUAGGAUGUUGACAGCAGUAUAGACUGU